rnacentral:rRNA from 1 species
UACGAAGGGGGCUAGCGUUGCUCGGAAUCACUGGGCGUAAAGCGCACGUAGGCGGAUCUUUUAAGUCAGGGGUGAAAUCCUGGAGCUCAACUCCAGAACUGCCUUUGAUACUGGCGAUCUCGAGUCCGGGAGAGGUGAGUGGAACUGCGAGUGUAGAGGUGAAAUUCGUAGAUAUUCGCAAGAACACCAGUGGCGAAGGCGGCUCACUGGCCCGGUACUGACGCUGAGGUGCGAAAGCGUGGGGAGCGAACAGG